AUCGAACGCUGGCGGCAUGCUUUACACAUGCAAGUCGGACGAGUGGCGAACGGGUGAGUAACGCAUCGGCACGUACCGAGUAUCGGCGUAUAACUGUCCUAAAGGACAGCUAAUACCGCUAAUUGUUCGAGCGGCCGAUGUCUGAUUAGCUGGUGGGCGGGGUAAAGGCCCACCAAGGCGACGAUCAGCAGCGGGUCUGAGAGGAUGAGCCGCCACACUGGGACUGAGACACGGCCCAGACUCCUACGGGAGGCAGCAGUGGGGAAUUUUGGACAAUGGGCGCAAGCCUGAUCCAGCCAUGCCGCGUGUCUGAAGAAGGCCUUCGGGUUGUAAAGGACUUUUGUCAGGGAAGCGGUACCUGAAGAAUAAGCACCGGCUAACUACGUGCCAGCAGCCGCGGUAAUUC
rnacentral:rRNA from 1 species